UUUGACAAUCCAUGAAAAUAAAA
rnacentral:snRNA from 1 species